GUCUCUGUGGCGCAAAUGGAUUAGCGCGCUGGACUUCUAAUCCAGAGGGUUCCGGGGUUCGAGUCCCGGCAGGGAUG
rnacentral:tRNA from 1 species